UCGGGCGGUAACACUUCGGGUGACGAGCGGCGGACGGGUGCGUAACGCGUGAGAAUCUGCCUUUUAGUGGGGGACAACCCGAGGAAACUCGGGCUAAUACCGCAUAUGUCCUACGGGAUAAAGCAGGGGACCUUCGGGCCUUGCGCUAAAAGAUGAGCUCGCGUGAGAUUAGCUUGUUGGUGGGGUAAAAGCCUACCAAGGCAACGAUCUCUAGCUGGUCUGAGAGGAUGAUCAGCCACACUGGGACUGAGACACGGCCCAGACUCCUACGGGAGGCAGCAGUGGGGAAUAUUGGACAAUGGGGGCAACCCUGAUCCAGCAAUUCCGCGUGUGUGAAGAAGGCCUUCGGGUUGUAAAGCACUUUCAGUAGCGAAAAUGGGAUUUUAUAUUAAUAAUAUAAAGUCUUGAUGUUAACUACAUAAGAAGCACCGG
rnacentral:rRNA from 1 species